GAUCCAGGCUUUAUGAGUGGCUGCGACCAUGCGGUCCAAUUAGUAUGGUGUCACCAAUAUAUGGAUCCAUGCGAUUGAUUAUCUGUGGAGUGUCCGGAUGGUCCAGGACCCUUCAGAUUAUAUUACGAUGGAGAACAGGAAAAUUAACCAAAACCUGGGCAAGACUGCGAAUGUGUGCUACUAUCCAUCCCAGUUCUGGAGGCCGGAGUUGGAAAUCAGUUUCACUGGGCACACAUGGAGGUGUUUGAAGGGCUGCCCGUGCCAGAGGCUCUCAGGGAGAAUCCCUUCCUUGUCUGUUCCAGCUCUACCUCCUCCUCUGCUGGCCCUUUCUCUUCUUCUUCUCAUGGUCUCUGGCAUCUGGGAGAGUGGUGGGGCUGAGCUGUUGUUCUAGAAGAAAAAAGGAUGUCUUGUCCUGUGUGAACUGGAACAGCGCUUAGAAAUCGAGGAGCGUGGCCCUGGGAACAGAGGCUGUGUGCUGUUGUUUUUGCUUCCUCAUUAAUGAGCAUGGGCCUUCAGUGAGCUCCUUUCCCUUGCUGGCCUUCAUUUGUAAAAUGUUGGCUGACGGCUAAGGGUGUUUAUUCCUCUAAAAUCACCUAAUUAGA
rnacentral:lncRNA from 1 species